AUACGUAGGUGGCGAGCGUUGUCCGGAAUUACUGGGCGUAAAGGGCGCGUAGGCGGUCCGCUAAGUCAGAUGUGAAAACCCCGGGCUCAACCUGGGGAUUGCAUUUGAAACUGGCAGACUAGAGUGUCGGAGAGGAAGGCGGAAUUCCUAGUGUAGCGGUGAAAUGCGUAGAUAUUAGGAGGAACACCAGUGGCGAAGGCGGCUUUCUGGACGAUAACUGACGCUGAGGCGCGAAAGCGUGGGGAGCAAACAGGAUUAGAUACCCUGGUAGUCCACGCUGUAAACGAUGGAUACUAGGUGUGGGUGGUUUAAUACCAUCCGUGCCGCAGUAAACGCAAUAAGUAUCCCGCCUGGGGAGUACGGCCGCAAGGUUGAA
rnacentral:rRNA from 1 species